UGGGGAAUAUUGCACAAUGGGCGCAAGCCUGAUGCAGCCAUGCCGCGUGUAUGAAGAAGGCCUUCGGGUUGUAAAGUACUUUCAGCGGGGAGGAAGGUGUUGUGGUUAAUAACCACAGCAAUUGACGUUACCCGCAGAAGAAGCACCGGCUAACUCCGUGCCAGCAGCCGCGGUAAUACGGAUGGUGCAAGCGUUAAUCGGAAUUACUGGGCGUAAAGCGCACGCAGGCGGUCUGUCAAGUCGGAUGUGAAAUCCCCGGGCUCAACCUGGGAACUGCAUCCGAAACUGGCAGGCUUGAGUCUUGUAGAGGGGGGUAGAAUUCCAGGUGUAGCGGUGAAAUGCGUAGAGAUCUGGAGGAAUACCGGUGGCGAAGGCGGCCCCCUGGACAAAGACUGACGCUCAGGUGCGAAAGCGUGGGGAGCAAACA
rnacentral:rRNA from 1 species